GACGAAAGAGGGAGGCGUGCUUAACACAUGCAAGUCGAACGGAAAGGCCCUGCUUUUGUGGGGUGCUCGAGUGGCGAACGGGUGAGUAACACGUGAGUAACCUGCCCUUGACUUUGGGAUAACUUCAGGAAACUGGGGCUAAUACCGGAUAGGAGCUCCUGCUGCAUGGUGGGGGUUGGAAAGUUUCGGCGGUUGGGGAUGGACUCGCGGCUUAUCAGCUUGUUGGUGGGGUAGUGGCUUACCAAGGCUUUGACGGGUAGCCGGCCUGAGAGGGUGACCGGCCACAUUGGGACUGAGAUACGGCCCAGACUCCUACGGGAGGCAGCAGUGGAGAAUAUUGCACAAUGGGCGGAAGCCUGAUGCAGCAACGCCGCGUGCGGGAUGACGGCCUUCGGGUUGUAAACCGCUUUCGCCUGUGACGAAGCGUGAGUGACGGUAAUGGGUAAAGAAGCACCGGCUAACUACGUG
rnacentral:rRNA from 1 species